CGCGUAGGUGGUAGUGUAAGUCUGAGGUGGAAUCCUAUGGCUUAACCAUAGAACUGCCUUGGAUACUGUAUUACUUGAGUCAGUGAGGGGAGGGUAGAAUUCCUGGUGUAGCGGUGAAAUGCGUAGAUAUCAGGAGGAAGGCCUGUGGCGAAGGCGGCCCUCUGGCGCUGGACUGACACUGAGGCGCGAAAGCGUGGGGAGCAAACAGGAUUAGAUACCCUGGUAGUCCACGCCCUAAACGGUGGGCACUAGGUGUAGGGCUCGUAAGGGUUCUGUGCCGAAGGGAACCAUUAAGUGCCCCGCCUGGGGAGUACGGCCGCAAGGUUGAA
rnacentral:rRNA from 1 species